rnacentral:rRNA from 1 species
AAGCCCCAGUAAACGGCGGCCGUAACUAUAACGGUCCUAAGGUAGCGAAAUUCCUUGUCGGGUAAGUUCCGACCUGCACGAAUGGCAUAAUGAUGGCCAGGCUGUCUCCACCCGAGACUCAGUGAAAUUGAAAUCGCCGUGAAGAUGCGGUGUACCCGCGGCUAGACGGAAAGACCCCGUGAACCUUUACUAUAGCUUGACACUGAACAUUGAAUUUUGAUGUGUAGGAUAGGUGGGAGACUUUGAAGCAGUCACGCCAGUGAUUGUGGAGUCGUCCUUGAAAUACCACCCUUUAACGUUUGAUGUUCUAACGAAGAUUACGAAACGUGGUCUCGGACAGUGUCUGGUGGGUAGUUUGACUGGGGCGGUCUCCUCCCAAAGAGUAACGGAGGAGCACGAAGGUUUGCUAAUGACGGUCGGACAUCGUCAGGUUAGUGCAAUGGUAUAAGCAAGCUUAACUGCGAGACAGACAAGUCGAGCAGGUACGAAAGUAGGUCAUAGUGAUCCGGUGGUUCUGAAUGGAAGGGCCAUCGCUCAACGGAUAAAAGGUACUCCGGGGAUAACAGGCUGAUACCGCCCAAGAGUUCAUAUCGACGGCGGUGUUUGGCACCUCGAUGUCGGCUCAUCACAUCCUGGGGCUGAAGUAGGUCCCAAGGGUAUGGCUGUUCGCCAUUUAAAGUGGUACGCGAGCUGGGUUUAGAACGUCGUGAGACAGUUCGGUCCCUAUCUGCCGUGGGCGUUGGAGAAUUGGUUGGGGCUGCUCCUAGUACGAGAGGACCGGAGUGGACGCACCACUGGUGUUCCGGUUGUGUCGCCAGACGCAUUGCCGGGUAGCUAAGUGCGGAAGAGAUAAGUGCUGAAAGCAUCUAAGCACGAAACUUGCCAAGAGAUGAGUUCUCCCAGAUUUAAAAUCUGUAAGGGUUGUUUAAGACUAAGACGUAGAUAGGCAUGGUGUGUAAGCGGUGCGAGCCGUUGAGCUAACAUGUACUAAUUGCCCGAGAGGCUUAACUAU